AGAGAGAGACAUGCGCGCAUAUCAAUAAGCGGAGGAAAAGAAACUAACAAGGAUUCCCUUAGUAACGGCGAGUGAAGCGGGAAGAGCUCAAAUUUGAAAUCUUCAAGGUUCUACCUUGACGAAUUGUAGUUUAUAGAAGUGUUCUCUGUUAGUGGAGUGGCAAAAGUUCUUUGGAAUAGGACAUCAUAGAGGGUGAGAAUCCCGUAUUUGGUCAUUCCUCCUAGCGUUGUGAUACACUUUCAACGAGUCGGAUUGUUUGGGAAUGCGGUCCAAAAUGGGUGGUAAAUUUCAUCUAAAGCUAAAUAUUGGCGAGAGACCGAUAGCGAACAAGUACCGUGAGGGAAAGAUGAAAAGAACUUUGAAAAGAGAGUUAAACAGUACGUGAAAUUGUCAAAAGGGAAGCGUUUGACACCAGUGUUGUUUUUCCGAAAAUCAAUUACGAAUGUUUUGUUUUUGAGAAGUUAUGACUUCAUCGGCUUGCUUCUUCUUUACGAAACUUUCUUAAUGCACUUUUCGGUUAACAAGUCAACAUCAAUUUCUUUUGUUGUAAAAGGGUAUGAGGAAGGUGGCUUGCGCUUUCGGAUAAAGUGUUUGUAGCCUUGUAUCCUCUGCAAUCGGAGAGAUUGAGGUCUGCAGCGUAGAUCCUUCGGGGUUAGAUACAUUGGUGCUAAGCUUAUAGCUUGUCAUAGACAACUUGUUGACUAUGAUCAGUCAUGUAGCUUACUCGCUUAUGUCAUUUUACCUACGCUUAGGAUGUUGAUAGUCACAGCGUGUAC
rnacentral:rRNA from 1 species